rnacentral:rRNA from 1 species
CGCGUGAAUGAUGAAGGUCUUCGGAUUGUAAAAUUCUGUGGUAAGAGAAGAAAGAUAUAAAGAGGAAAUGCUUUGUAUUUGACGGUAUCUUGCUAGAAAGCCACGGCUAACUACGUGCCAGCAGCCGCGGUAAUACGUAGGUGGCAAGCGUUAUCCGGAAUUACUGGGCGUAAAGAGUGAGCAGGCGGUUAGAUAAGUCUAUGGUUAAAUGCAACAGCUCAACUGUUGUUCGCUAUAGAAACUAUUUAACUAGAGUGCGGGAGAGGUAAGUGGAACUCCAUAUGUAGCGGUGGAAUGCUUAGAUAUAUGGAAGAACACCAGAGGCGAAGGCGGCUUACCAGUCCGUAACUGACGCUCAGUCACGAAAGCGUGGGGAGCAAAUAGGAUUAGAUAUCCUAGUAGUCCACGCCGUAAACGAUGAGAACCUGAUGCAGGAGAUAUUCUGUGUCGAAGCUAACGCGUUAAGUUCUCCGCCUGGGUACUACGUUCGCAAGAAUAAAACUUAAAGGAAUUGACGGGCGCCCGCACAAGCAGUGGAGCAUGGGGUUUAAUUCGUCGAUACACGAAAAACCUUACCAGGGCUUGACAUCCCGCUAAAAGCCUUAGAAAUAAGGAAAUAGUUAUAGCGGUGACAGGUGGUGCAUGGUUGUCGUCAGCUCGUGCCGUGAGGUGUUAGGUUAAGUCCUCAAACGAGCGCAACCCUUGUCUUUAGUUGCCAUUAUUAAUUUAGGAACUCUAGAGAGACUGCCGGCGCAAGCCGGAGGAAGGCGGGGAUGACGUCAAAUCAUCAUGCCCUUUAUGCCCUGGGCCACACCCGUGCUACAAUGGUCGGUACAAAGAGAAGCAACACUGUGAGGUGAAGCAAAUCCCAUAAAGCCGAUCUCAAUUCGGAUUGAAGUCUGCAACUCGACUUCAUGAAGCUGGAAUUGCUAGUAAUCGCAGAUCAGCAACGCUGCGGUGAAUACGUUCUCGGGCGUUGUACACACUGCCCGUCACACCAUGAGAGCCGGUAAUACUCGAAGUCGUUAGCCUAACCGUAAGGAGGGCGGCGCCUAAGGUAGGACUGGUGAUUGGGGUUAAGUCGUAACAAGGUAUCCCUACG